rnacentral:rRNA from 2 species
CCUGGCGGCUGUAGCGCGGUGGUCCCACCUGACCCCAUGCCGAACUCAGAAGUGAAACGCCGUAGCGCCAAUGGUAGUGUGGGGUCUCCCCAUGCGAGAGUAGGGAACUGCCAGGC